CACCCCGUAGGAUGGGUUGAGCGAAGCGAUACCCAUCACCGUGGCCGCAUGGGUUUCGCAAGCUCAACCCAUCCUACGAAAAG
rnacentral:misc_RNA from 1 species